AUUGAACGCUGGCGGCAUGCUUUACACAUGCAAGUCGAACGGCAGCACAGCAGAGGUAACUCUGUGGGUGGCGAGUGGCGAACGGGUGAGUAAUACAUCGGAACGUACCCUGUUGUGGGGGGAUAACUACGCGAAAGCGUAGCUAAUACCGCAUACGCCCUGAGGGGGAAAGCGGGGGACCCUAAAUAGAGCGCACUGGGGAGUGCGUUGUAUUUAGGGCCUCGCGCAAUAGGAGCGGCCGAUGUCGGAUUAGCUAGUUGGUGAGGUAAAGGCUUACCAAGGCGACGAUCCGUAGCUGGUCUGAGAGGAUGAUCAGCCACACUGGGACUGAGACACGGCCCAGACUCCGUACGGGAGCAGCAGUGGGAAUUUUGGACAAUGGGGGCAACCCUGACUCCAGCCAUG
rnacentral:rRNA from 1 species